rnacentral:rRNA from 1 species
CGGCCACAUGGGACUGAGACACGGCCCAGACUCUACGGGAGGCAGCAGUAGGGAAUCUCCACAAUGGACGCAAGUCUGAUGGAGCAACGCCGCGUGAGUGAAGAAGGGUUUCGGCUCGUAAAGCUCUGUUGUUAAAGAAGAACGUGGGUGAGAGUAACUGUUCACCCAGUGACGGUAUUUAACCAGAAAGCCACGGCUAACUACGUGCCAGCAGCCGCGGUAAUACGUAGGUGGCAAGCGUUAUCCGGAUUUAUUGGGCGUAAAGCGAGCGCAGGCGGUCUUUUAAGUCUAAUGUGAAAGCCUUCGGCUCAACCGAAGAAGUGCAUUGGAAACUGGGAGACUUGAGUGCAGAAGAGGACAGUGGAACUCCAUGUGUAGCGGUGAAAUGCGUAGAUAUAUGGAAGAACACCAGUGGCGAAGGCGGCUGUCUGGUCUGUAACUGACGCUGAGGCUCGAAAGCAUGGGUAGCGAACAGGAUUAGAUACCCUGGUAGUCCAUGCCGUAAACGAUGAUUACUAAGUGUUGGAGGGUUUCCGCCCUUCAGUGCUGCAGCUAACGCAUUAAGUAAUCCGCCUGGGGAGUACGACCGCAAGGUUGAAACUCAAAAGAAUUGACGGGGGCCCGCACAAGCGGUGGAGCAUGUGGUUUAAUUCGAAGCUACGCGAAGAACCUUACCAGGUCUUGACAUCUUCUGCCAACCUAAGAGAUUAGGCGUUCCCUUCGGGGACAGAAUGACAGGUGGUGCAUGGUUGUCGUCAGCUCGUGUCGUGAGAUGUUGGGUUAAGUCCCGCAACGAGCGCAACCCUUAUUACUAGUUGCCAGCAUUCAGUUGGGCACUCUAGUGAGACUGCCGGUGACAAACCGGAGGAAGGUGGGGACGACGUCAAAUCAUCAUGCCCCUUAUGACCUGGGCUACACACGUGCUACAAUGGAUGGUACAACGAGUCGCGAAACCGCGAGGUUUAGCUAAUCUCUUAAAACCAUUCUCAGUUCGGACUGUAGGCUGCAACUCGCCUACACGAAGUCGGAAUCGCUAGUAUCGCGACCCCC